GGGGAUGUAGCUCAGCUGGGAGAGCGAUGCGUUCGCAACGCAUAGGUCGAGAGUUCGAUCCUCUUCAUCUCCACCA
rnacentral:tRNA from 1 species